UUAUAAGAUGAUAUGCAAAAAUAUAACUAAAGUUUAGAUAUUAGAAGGUCUAUGGAGUCGGAAUGGAAUUCAUUGUUUCCGAUAGUUGCCGUUUGUUUUAUAGGAAUCGGAUUCCGAUUCUCAUUCUAAAUCCGGAAUGGGAAUGGGAAUGGGAAUGACCAAAUCGGACUCCGGAAUGGGAAUAGCCAAAUCCAUUUGUAAUCCAAUCCGACUUUGAAUACCGGAUUAGCUCAUUCCAAAGUAAACUAUUCAAAAUCCUCUUUCACCAACACCUACUUCCUCUCCCUUCAUCAUUUUUUUCUUUCUUAAUCAAAACCUUCUCUCAAAAAUUUUAAAUUUUCAUUCUAAUUUUCAUUCCAAUAAUGAACCAAACAUUUUUGAAUGAUUCGUCAUUUCAUUUUCUAUUCCAAAACAAUCGAAUUCUAUUUUUCAUUUCUAUUUCAAUCAUGAACCAAAUAUGCCCUAAAAGUUCAGACAUCAAUCCUUCAAAGUGCUGAAGUUUAUAAAGUCUUUAUACAUUUU
rnacentral:lncRNA from 1 species